rnacentral:rRNA from 1 species
AGUGAACGCUGGCGGUAGGCCUAACACAUGCAGGUCGAACGGCAGCACAGUAAGAGCUUGCUCUUACGGGUGGCGAGUGGCGGACGGGUGAGGAAUACAUCGGAAUCUACUUUUUCGUGGGGGAUAACGUAGGGAAACUUACGCUAAUACCGCAUACGACCUACGGGUGAAGGCAGGGGAUCUUCGGACCUUGCGCGAUUGAAUGAGCCGAUGUCGGAUUAGCUAGUUGGCGGGGUAAAGGCCCACCAAGGCGACGAUCCGUAGCUGGUCUGAGAGGAUGAUCAGCCACACUGGAACUGAGACACGGUCCAGACUCCUACGGGAGGCAGCAGUGGGGAAUAUUGGACAAUGGGCGCAAGCCUGAUCCAGCCAUACCGCGUGGGUGAAGAAGGCCUUCGGGUUGUAAAGCCCUUUUGUUGGGAAAGAAAAGCAGCAGGUUAAUACCCCGCUGUUCUGACGGUACCCAAGGAAUAAGCACCGGCUAACUUCGUG